rnacentral:rRNA from 1 species
GGGAUAACACUUGGAAACAGGUGCUAAUACCGUAUAACACUAUUUUCCGCAUGGAAGAAAGUUGAAAGGCGCUUUUGCGUCACUGAUGGAUGGACCCGCGGUGCAUUAGCUAGUUGGUGAGGUAACGGCUCACCAAGGCCACGAUGCAUAGCCGACCUGAGAGGGUGAUCGGCCACACUGGGACUGAGACACGGCCCAGACUCCUACGGGAGGCAGCAGUAGGGAAUCUUCGGCAAUGGACGAAAGUCUGACCGAGCAACGCCGUGUGAGUGAAGAAGGUUUUCGGAUCGUAAAACUCUGUUGUUAGAGAAGAACAAGGAUGAGAGUAAAAUGUUCAUCCCUUGACGGUAUCUAACCAGAAAGCCACGGCUAACUACGUGCCAGCAGCCGCGGUAAUACGUAGGUGGCAAGCGUUGUCCGGAUUUAUUGGGCGUAAAGCGAGCGCAGGCGGUUUCUUAAGUCUGAUGUGAAAGCCCCCGGCUCAACCGGGGAGGGUCAUUGGAAACUGGGAGACUUGAGUGCAGAAGAGGAGAGUGGAAUUCCAUGUGUAGCGGUGAAAUGCGUAGAUAUAUGGAGGAACACCAGUGGCGAAGGCGGCUCUCUGGUCUGUAACUGACGCUGAGGCUCGAAAGCGUGGGGAGCGAACAGGAUUAGAUACCCUGGUAGUCCACGCCGUAAACGAUGAGUAUAGAGUGUUGG